rnacentral:rRNA from 1 species
AGUGAACGCUGGCGGUAGGCCUAACACAUGCAAGUCGAACGGCAGCACAGUAAGAGCUUGCUCUUACGGUUGGCGAGUGACGGACGGGUGAGGAAUACAUCGGAAUCUACUUUUUCGUGGGGGAUAACGUAGGGAAACUGCCGCUAAUACCGCAUACGACCUACGGGUGAAAGUAGUAGAUCUUCGGACCUUGCUCGAUUGAAUGAGCCGAUGUCGGAUUAGCUAGUUGGCGAGGUAAAGGCCCACCAAGGCGACGAUGCGUAGCUGGUCUGAGAGGAUGAUCAGCCACACUGGAACUGAGACACGGUCCAGACUCCUACGGGAGGCAGCAGUGGGGAAUAUUGGACAAUGGGCGCAAGCCUGAUCCAGCCAUACCGCGUGGGUGAAGAAGGUCUUCGGGUUGUAAAGCCCUUUUGUUGGGAAAGAAAAGCAGCAGGUUAAUAUCCCGCUGUUCUGACGGUACCCAAAGAAUAAGCAACGGCUAACUUCGUG